rnacentral:rRNA from 1 species
UACCGAGGUGGCAAGCGUUGUUCGGAAUUACUGGGCGUAAAGGGCGCGUAGGCGGUCCCUUAAGUCGGGGGUGAAAGCCCAGGGCUCAACCCUGGAACUGCCUUCGAUACUGGGAGUCUUGAGUGUGGAAGAGGUUGGUGGAACUGCGAGUGUAGAGGUGAAAUUCGUAGAUAUUCGCAAGAACACCAGUGGCGAAGGCGGCCAACUGGUCCACUACUGACGCUGAGGUGCGAAAGCGUGGGGAGCAAACAGG